rnacentral:rRNA from 1 species
UUAAGUUAAUAAGGGCGCACGGUGGAUGCCUUGGCACUAGAAGCCGAUGAAGGACGUGACUAACGACGAAAUGCUUUGGGGAGUUGUAAGUAAACAUUGAUCCAGAGAUGUCCGAAUGGGGGAACCCGGCAUGUGAAGCAUGUCACUCAUUACUGUUAAGGUAAUGAAGAGGAAGACGCAGUGAACUGAAACAUCUAAGUAGCUGCAGGAAGAGAAAGCAAACGCGAUUGCCUUAGUAGCGGCGAGCGAAACGGCAAGAGGGCAAACCGAUGUGUUUACACAUCGGGGUUGUAGGACUGCGUUGUGGGACGCAAGAUUAUAGAAGAAUUACCUGGGAAGGUAAGCCAAAGAGAGUAAUAGCCUCGUAAUCGAAAUAAUCUUAAACCCUAGCAGUAUCCUGAGUACGGCGAGACACGAGAAAUCUCGUCGGAAUCCGGGAGGACCAUCUCCCAACCCUAAAUACUCUCUAGUGACCGAUAGUGAACCAGUACCGUGAGGGAAAGGUGAAAAGCACCCCGGGAGGGGAGUGAAAUAGAACCUGAAACCGUGUGCCUACAACAAGUUCGAGCCCGUUAAUGGGUGAGAGCGUGCCUUUUGUAGAAUGAACCGGCGAGUUACGAUAUGAUGCGAGGUUAAGUUGAAGAGACGGAGCCGUAGGGAAACCGAGUCUUAAUAGGGCGCUUUAGUAUCAUGUCGUAGACCCGAAACCAUGUGACCUACCCAUGAGCAGGGUGAAGGUGAGGUAAAACUCACUGGAGGCCCGAACCAGGGCACGUUGAAAAGUGCUUGGAUGACUUGUGGGUAGCGGAGAAAUUCCAAACGAACUUGGAGAUAGCUGGUUCUCUCCGAAAUAGCUUUAGGGCUAGCGUCGAUGUUAAGUCUCUUGGAGGUAGAGCACUGUUUGAUUGAGGGGUCCAUCCCGGAUUACCAAUAUCAGAUAAACUCCGAAUGCCAAUGAGAUAUAAUCGGCAGUCAGACUGCGAGUGCUAAGAUCCGUAGUCGAAAGGGAAACAGCCCAGACCACCAGCUAAGGUCCCAAAAUAUAUGUUAAGUGGAAAAGGAUGUGGGGUUGCACAGACAACUAGGAUGUUAGCUUAGAAGCAGCUAUUCAUUCAAAGAGUGCGUAAUAGCUCACUAGUCGAGUGACCCUGCGCCGAAAAUGUACCGGGGCUAAAACAUAUUACCGAAGCUGUGGAUACCUAUUAUAGGUAUGGUAGGAGAGCGUUCUAUGUGUGAAGAAGGUGUACCGUGAGGAGCGCUGGAACGCAUAGAAGUGAGAAUGCCGGUAUGAGUAGCGAAAGACAGGUGAGAAUCCUGUCCACCGUAAGACUAAGGUUUCCAGGGGAAGGCUCGUCCGCCCUGGGUUAGUCGGGACCUAAGGAGAGACCGAAAGGUGUAUCCGAUGGCCAACAGGUUGAUAUUCCUGUACUAGAGUAUAUAGUGAAGGAGGGACGCAGUAGGCUAACUAAAGCGUGCGAUUGGAAGAGCACGUCUAAGCAGUGAGGUGUGAUAUGAGUCAAAUGCUUGUAUCUCUAACAUUGAGCUGUGAUGGGGAGCGAAGUUAAGUAGCGAAGUUAGUGAUGUCACACUGCCAAGAAAAGCUUCUAGCGUUAAUUAUACUCUACCCGUACCGCAAACCGACACAGGUAGUCGAGGCGAGUAGCCUCAGGUGAGCGAGAGAACUCUCGUUAAGGAACUCGGCAAAAUGGCCCCGUAACUUCGGGAGAAGGGGCGCUGGCUUUAAGUCAGCCGCAGUGAAUAGGCCCAAGCAACUGUUUAUCAAAAACACAGCUCUCUGCUAAAUCGUAAGAUGAUGUAUAGGGGGUGACGCCUGCCCGGUGCUGGAAGGUUAAGAGGAGCGCUUAGCGUAAGCGAAGGUGUGAAUUGAAGCCCCAGUAAACGGCGGCCGUAACUAUAACGGUCCUAAGGUAGCGAAAUUCCUUGUCGGGUAAGUUCCGACCCGCACGAAAGGCGUAAUGAUUUGGGCACUGUCUCAACAAUGCACCCGGUGAAAUUGAAAUACCAGUGAAGAUGCUGGUUACCUGCGCCAGGACGGAAAGACCCCAUGGAGCUUUACUCCAGCUUGAUACUGGGAUUCGGUACUGCAUGUACAGGAUAGGUGGGAGACUGAGAACUAUGAACGCCAGUUUGUAGGGAGUCGCUGUUGGGAUACCACCCUUGCGGUAUUGGAUUUCUAACCUGCAGCCGUGAACCGGCAGCUUGUAAAAUUCCGGUGGAAAGAAUACAGUUGCCUCCAGCAUACGCCAUCUUUUCAAGGACAAUGACCUCUGCCCCCUGUUGGGCAGCACGGACUGAAGCUGAAAGUCCGGACAAUCCAGCACCGAUAACCAAAACAUCAGCCGUUGUUUUCACUUCUGUCUUUGCGGUCGACGGCGCCGUUGGCUGGGCGUCCUGAUUCUGCGGUGCCGAUGAACAGCCGGUGGAUGCCAUCAACAGCGCACUCAGAAGCAGGAUAAAACUCUUUUUUCCAAAACACAUAACACAUUUCCUCCCUUCGAUACGAUUAACUUGUGUAUCGUUGGACAAAGUAUAAGCGUUAUACAAGCUUGAAGGUCAAGUCUUAUUUCUGUUCCAUUUCCUCAUCCUGAAUAGGAAUCCAGACGUCAUAGUAAUGAUUGAUUGUGUUAUUUUCGCCCAUAACCCGCGCUAUGCUUCGGCCUAAAAUAUCUCCGGCCAAAACAAAAGCGUGUUUUUUUAAAUAGCUGAAAGCGGGUUGAAGGUUUUCGUAAUGCAAAAAGACUUGAUCCUCAAUCCGGAAGAUCAUGUGAACACAGGAUGCGGCCGGAUAAUAGACGCUGUCCUGACGGUCCAGGCCUAAGCUUUCCGCCAUUUCGGCUUCCAUCGCAAAGCCCCAAUGCAGAUGA